rnacentral:rRNA from 1 species
AUGCCCUGGACAGCGACGACCAGGUCGUUGAGUACUCCGGCCAUGGCCUCCGGCGUAAACUGUUGCGGCACGGCGGAAGGCGACGACGACGAGUGGUGGACGGAAGGUGGCGGCUGGCCUUGGCCCGGCGUGGUGCUGGGUGCAGGGGAGAUCGGCUCCGACAGCGAGGCCGUGGCGCCCGCCGAUAGCGAGGCCGUGACGUCCGGCGAUGAAGCGGCGGCGGCGGUGGGGUUGGUGGCAGCGGCGGUGGGGGAGUUGGCGGGCAGCGGCAGCGGUGGUGGUGGCGAAGACAUGGUCGAAACCCGGGUACCUGAUACCAAAUUGGUAGGACUAGGGUUCCUACCGGUGUGGCUACGCAGGUUAUAG